AGUGGAAGCGUCUGGAAAGGUGCGCGAUACAGGGUGACAGCCCCGUACACAAAAGCGCAUGUGCUGUGAGCUCGAUGAGUAGGGCGGGACACGUGAUAUCCUGUCUGAAUAUGGGGGGACCAUCCUCCAAGGCUAAAUACUCCUGACUGACCGAUAGUGAACCAGUACCGUGAGGGAAAGGCGAAAAGAACCCCGGCGAGGGGAGUGAAAAAGAACCUGAAACCGUGUACGUACAAGCAGUGGGAGCACAGGUUUACCUGUGUGACUGCGUACCUUUUGUAUAAUGGGUCAGCGACUUAUAUUCUGUAGCAAGGUUAACCGUAUAGGGGAGCCGGAGGGAAACCGAGUCUUAACC
rnacentral:rRNA from 1 species